rnacentral:rRNA from 1 species
CCUACGGGAGGCAGCAGUGAGGAAUAUUGGUCAAUGGGCGCGAGCCUGAACCAGCCAAGUAGCGUGAAGGAUGACUGCCCUAUGGGUUGUAAACUUCUUUUAUAUGGGAAUAAAAUGUUCCACGUGUGGGUUUUUGUAUGUACUUUAUGAAUAAGGAUCGGCUAACUCCGUGCCAGCAGCCGCGGUAAUACGGAGGAUCCGAGCGUUAUCCGGAUUUAUUGGGUUUAAGGGGACCGCAGACGGUCUUUUAAGUCUGUUGUGAAAGUUUGCGGCUAAACCGUAGUAUUGCAUUUGAUACUGGGAGACUUGAGUGCAGAAGAGGAAGGUGGAACUCGAGGUGUAGCGGUGAAAUGCGUAGAUAGAAGGAAGAACACCGAUGGCGAAAGCAGCUCACUAGUCUGUAACUGACGCUGAGGUUCGAAAGCGUGGGUAGCAAACAGGAUUAGAUACCCUGGUAGUC